rnacentral:rRNA from 1 species
GUGGAUUAGAUACCCUGGUAGUCCACGCCGUAAACGAUGGAUACUAGCUGUUCGAGAGCAAUCUUGAGUGGCUAAGCGAAAGUGAUAAGUAUCCCACCUGGGGAGUACGAACGCAAGUUUGAAACUCAAAGGAAUUGACGGGGGCCCGCACAAGCGGUGGAGCAUGUGGUUUAAUUCGAUGAUACGCGAGGAACCUUACCAAGGCUUAAAUGUAGAUUGACAGGACUGGAAACAGUUUUUUCUUCGGACAAUUUACAAGGUGCUGCACGGCUGUCGACAGCU